UGCCCAGCAACUCCUAUCCCUACCUCCGCGUUGUACCAGCCGGACUGCAAGUAAUUUUAGAGAAGAUCGUAGGUUGACAGGAAAGA
rnacentral:ribozyme from 1 species